rnacentral:tRNA from 2 species
UAUGGCAGACAAGUGCAAUGGAUUUAAAAUCCUACCAUAAAGAUCCUACCCCUUUUAUUAAAA